GCAUGAGGCUCAAUGGGAGCACGCUUGCCUAGCAUGUAAGAGGCACUGGGUUCGAUUCUCAGCACUGCA
rnacentral:tRNA from 1 species